CCCAGUGGCGGAUCCAGAAAUUUCCCCCCUAUAAUGUGUCAAAUAUUUGAUUACAAUCCAAAUUCAGACCUAUAUCAAACUUGAAUAUUGUGUUCAUUUUUACCCCAACUGUUCAGGGUUCGUUUCCAGCUUUGCUUGGGAAACCGUUUAUUGAAGUUUAUUUUGCUUUUUGACAGAAAAUUUAUCCAUUGCCAAGGUACAUUGAAAGGUUUUUCUUUUAUUAAAAUCUGCACAUAUAUUUAUAUUAAUUUUUUAUAAGCUUAACUGUUGAUCUUCUUUCUGUUGUUUGCUUACAUUUUGUUUCAAUUCACUCAAAAGUAAAAGUAUAUAGUAAAGGUAUAAAUUAGUGAGCAUCAAUUCAUACUACAUGUAGUUUUUGUCUGGACUUCUUGAUUAAAUUAUUUAUAUAUACAAUUUUAGCUUGUUACCAAAUGAAAGGAAAGUACAGUAUUGACAAUGAUUGAUAUCACUGGUGAACAUGUAUGUCAUGUAGGUGUGAAUGUCCUGCAAAAAAGAACUGAUAUCAAAUUACCAUUCACAGUGAACAUGGUGAAGAAUAACCAAUACCAUGAAUACAGGACAUAGAAGACUACCUCACAAAUAUGGGAAUUUUACAAAAAAUACAACAUUUUAAUUUACAAAGAAGACAUUUAUUUUGACAUUCAUGGACUUUGAAAGUAAAGAAAUUAGAAUGUGAAUAAAAAUCCUUGGAAAUAAAAUUUUGAACUUUGAAGAAAA